rnacentral:lncRNA from 1 species
UUUUGAGAGGUCACCACCAUGGCUCUGCAUCUCCUCUAGGGCAAGAUUGAAGAUGGAGCUCUGCCUCUUCAGAGGUUGAAACUGGUGCAAUGUCGCCUCAUACCCCAUUCAACAAACCUCAAACCCUAAAAUAUAGCAUUAAAACUAGGUAGAAAUCAGCAUAACCCUAAAAUUCUUAAACCAUAAAGAAUAAUAGAUUAA